UGAGGAAUAUUGGACAAUGGGUGGAAGCCUGAUCCAGCCAUCCCGCGUGAAGGAUGACGGUCCUAUGGAUUGUAAGCUUCUUUUGGAUAGGGAUAAACCUAGAUACGUGUACCUAGCUGAAGGUACUAUACGAAUAAGCACCGGCUAACUCCGUGCCCGCAGCCGCGGUAAUACGGAGGGUGCAAGCGUUAUCCGGAUUUAUUGGGUUUAAAGGGUCCGUAGGCGGGCCGAUAAGUCAGUGGUGAAAUCUCAUAGCUUAACUAUGAAACUGCCAUUGAUACUGUCGGUAUUGAGUAGAUGAGAUGUAGCUGGAAUAAGUAGUGUAGCGGUGAAAUGCAUAGCUACUACUUAGAACACCAAUUGCGAAGGCAGGUUACAAUGACAUAACUGACGCUGAGGCACGAAAGCGUGGGGAGCGAAC
rnacentral:rRNA from 1 species